CAAGGAGGAAAGCUGCUUCUAUUCGAAAUAUGACCAAAAAGGGUUGUUGUGUGAGUGAUUGGGACUGUAGUACUGUCAACAUUUCAAGUGAAAGGCUUAGAGUUUUAUCUUUAGGAAAAUGUGUUCGUAAAAUUAGCUUGUUGGCCAUGAAGUUUUAAAAGGAGUGGAUGCAUGUUGUCGAGAUACGUUGAGGAUGACAGCUGCCUCCAAGUUCUUCUUGGCUUCCUCGCGGCCUAUCCAGGGGAUCCGGGAACCAAAUCUCCUCCAUCAUCGUGUUAGUUGUUUGACACACUUUCUCACAGAAAUAAAAAGGGGAUACUGAGACCAAACCGGCCUACUGAUGUCCAUACAGACUAGCCCUACACAAGACAAUGUCUGUCACAUUGGUGCCUUGACCGAGUUGGACCUUCGCCCAACCGGGAUCUUUCUGGACAUCAUCUGCGUUGUGAUAAUCAACAAAGCCUGACUGCCCACAACACCUGGAUCAGAGAGCCAGUCCAAUGAAAUCUGUCAAGAAAACCGCAGAUAAACAAGGCCUGUAUCAUCAUUGUAGUCUAGUACUACACUUUUAUUAUACACGAAGACAGAACAUGACAUGCUUGUAUCAUUGCAAAAAAAAACAAAAAAAAACAACUAACUAUACAAUCAGUCAAGCACUCUCAGACGCACUCACUUACUAUACAACUCACCACACACGUUAUCCAUUACAAUGUGUUCAUUCAGCUCUAACAUACCCACAUUUUUAAUUUAAAAAACCCUCAAAUCUCAAGAACCUGAAUGCAGCGUAUAUGUGUCUCCAGGCUAUAAUGGGUUAAAGCGCUCGAGGCCAGAAGGAAAGUAGAGUGAUUACACUCAUUCUCAAACUGGGCGCAAUGUGGACAGUAUUCCAAGUGCGCCUUCAAAUAAUAUUGGUUUGUGGGUUUUGUGUUGUUUAUUGGGUCAGAGGUGGGCCCCAAGGUUCAGUUACACCAUUAGGUGUAAGUGAUCACCAUUCUUUGUUACACCAUGAUUUUCCUAAAUGUAUGUAUAUUCCAGUUCAGUCUUGUUUAUAUAAUUCUGCACAACUUGGUUUAUCUUUCUUCCCAUGUUUAACUGCAGUCAACCUGCCAUCCAAGCCGAGGCCAAACACAUCAUAGCACUGAGGUGGUCAACCAAGGUUGCAGAUAGGGAUGAGUUCCACGACGUGUCCACCAAGACCAGAGGAGGCUGCUGCGGAAGUCUCCCCUACGCCCAGUAUAGGCACACAACUCUAAUUUCACUGCAUGUUUUAGUAUUUCUAUGCAUGCAACCUACAAAUCCUUUAAAUCUUGCAACUGAUGUAGACUUGUAAGCCAUCUUUAAGCAACUAAUACGUUAUUCUAACCUCUUCACAUUGAUACAGGAAAUUGAUCUGAAGUGCACAAAAUGUGUAUUUUGUUCUUGCUCUUUCCCAGCAGAAACACAAUUGAACAGAUUUAAUAAAUGUUCGUCUGUCAAUAAUUGUAUCUUCUUUUCAGUAUGAACUGAGCCAAGUUAACUUUCUAGUCAAAGUAUCUAUUGGAGGCAUAAAUAACAAGAGGAAGACUAGCCAUCAAUAAUUACAAUAUUUACAAGCAGUGAAAGAGGCACGUACUAUCCAAAUAUGCCACAUAUUUGUUACAGUGAAGAAGUUGUGAUGCUGUACAUGUUUACUCCAUCUACAGGCUGCUAUAGACUGUUAGUUUUCCACAAAGAAGCCUAGUCGAGACCUUUGUUCAAUCUUCUGACAUGCUCUUACUCUUGACAAAUGGGUACUAUAUCAGCUUUAUUACUUUAUUGAAUCCUAAAAUUGUCCAGCACGUAUGAAUUGGACGUUGUAUCUUGGAGUAAAUAAGCUACUAUCCAGAUUUAAAGAUCAAUGUGAGCUGAAAGAAUUUUUUCAUCCCUGUGCAAGAGGCCAGGAAGGUUUGUCAAAGGUUGGAGUAAGUCUCUUUUUUUUCGUGACUAAUCGUGACUAGAUAUAUCGAUUAGUCCAGUGUUUCUCAACAGGGGUGCCGGGGAAAAGUGGCUGAUAAAUAAAUUAUGUAAUAUAAGAUAUAUUUGUCUAAAUUGAUAAGUGAAUGCUAGUCAGUGGAAUCUUUCAUCUGCCAUUUACGCACAAUAAAGUAAAUUUAGGUCACCCCAGUA